rnacentral:rRNA from 1 species
GACUCUUCCCAAGGGUAACUGCGGAAGGAUCAGCACAGAGUUCUGCCCGAAGGGUAGACCUCCCACCCUUGUGUAUUAUUACUUUGUUGCUUUGGCGAGCUGCCUUCGGGCCUUGUAUGCUCGCCAGAGAAUACCAAAACUCUUUUUAUUAAUGUCGUCUGAGUACUAUAUAAUAGUUAAAACUUUCAACAACGGAUCUCUUGGUUCUGGCAUCGAUGAAGAACGCAGCGAAAUGCGAUAAGUAAUGUGAAUUGCAGAAUUCAGUGAAUCAUCGAAUCUUUGAACGCACAUUGCGCCCCUUGGUAUUCCGGGGGGCAUGCCUGUUCGAGCGUCAUUUCAACCCUCAAGCUUAGCUUGGUAUUGAGUCUAUGUCAGUAAUGGCAGGCUCUAAAAUCAGUGGCGGCGCCGCUGGGUCCUGAACGUAGUAAUAUCUCUCGUUACAGGUUCUCGGUGUGCUUCUGCCAAAACCCAAAUUUUUCUAUGGUGACCUCGAUCAGGUAGAGACAACCGCUGAACUUAAGCAUAUCAUAAGUGGGGAGGAAAACG